rnacentral:rRNA from 1 species
UACGUAGGUGGCGAGCGUUGUCCGGAAUUAUUGGGCGUAAAGGGCGUGUAGGCGGGAUGCUAAGUCUGUCUUAAAAGUGCAGGGCUCAACCCUGUGAGGGGACGGAAACUAGUAUUCUUGAGUGCAGGAGAGGAAAGCGGAAUUCCCAGUGUAGCGGUGAAAUGCGUAGAGAUUGGGAGGAACACCAGUGGCGAAGGCGGCUUUCUGGACUGUGUCUGACGCUGAGGCGCGAAAGCCAGGGGAGCGAACGGGAUUAGAUACCCCGGUAGUCCUGGCCGUAAACGAUGGGUACUAGGUGUAGAGGGUAUCGACCCCCUCUGUGCCGGAGUUAACGCAAUAAGUACCCCGCCUGGGGAGUACGGCCGCAAGGUUGAA